UACGUAGGGUGCAAGCGUUUAAUCGGAAUUACUGGGCGUAAAGCGUGCGCAGGCGGUGAUGUAAGACAGAUGUGAAAUCCCCGGGCUCAACCUGGGAAUGGCGAUGGAGACUGCAAGGCUAGAGUUUGGCAGAGGGGGGGUAGAAUUCCACGUGUAGCAGUGAAAUGCGUAGAUAUGUGGAGGAACACCGAUGGCGAAGGCAGCCCCCUGGGUCAAAACUGACGCUCAUGCACGAAAGCGUGGGGAGCAAACAGG
rnacentral:rRNA from 1 species